UCUUUUGAAGGUGUCUUAUUUAUGAACUCUUCUCGGGCUCUAAGCUUGGAAAAACAGAGGAGCUACGUAACACUGUCGGCAUUCCUAAGUCUCUGCUUCCAGAUUAUCAGCGACUCCUAAGUUCCAUGCCUUCUCGCAGAUUGAACACCUCAAAACUUCUAGAAAAUGGCGAGUAUUUCCAAAAUAAGCUGGUGGACACCAUACAUUUUAUGGAUAUUCUUAACUUGAAAGACAGUGUUGAAAAGGACACUUUUCUUCCGUAAACUACCAAAUGUUGCUGACAGCUUCCUCGCGAGAUCGUGCUUAAGAAGGUGUGAA